UCACACCUUCCUUUUCGAGCCAAAGCCCGUCCCGUAUUCACUAAAUGUUAGAUUAAAUCCAGGUUAAAUCCACCGAUUUACGGGGUUGAGUUAAUCCGGGAUUUAAGGGCGAAAUCAGUGAAAUCCGGAUUUAUCAAAUAUGUGGUUUGAUUUUGUUCAGAAUGACUGUCUGGCAAAAUUUAGGUUAAAUCCUGCUCUAAAUCUGUUACCAGACAGCCCCUAAGUGAAUUAAUGUCAAUGUUUUUGACAUAGGCAGUGGUGAUGAUGCUCAGCUAUAUUUUCGUUUAACGGAAAGUAGUUAAGGUCACUGCUUUCCUCCUACAGUCUAUAAUGGCGAGGCAUUAUGGAUGGGCUUAAGAGGCAACCGGUGCAGCCGGCAUCUAUUUUGACCUUUUAGGGCUUCAGUUAAGUGGUCCGAGUGAAAGCAAGUUCUCUACUUUAAGGGGCUGUUUCUGUUUUCGUGGAAUGCAGCAAGCGUUGGGCCGUGGGGUUCUUUUCAGUGAAGCAGCAAUGUGGCUGUUUGGCUCCAAAAAUGAUUAAAAUUUGAAACUUCAGGCGGUGGAUGUACCUCAAGGCAUUCAUGAACUAAGGUGAUCCGAGUCAAAUUAAAAAUCGCCCGUAGCUUCCGUUUCAGCAUACUUAUAGGAAACUGCCAGCACUACGAGAUGAAUCCAAUGACAUCAAAAUUGAUCCAAUUUGAGUGAAA